rnacentral:rRNA from 1 species
GAUUAACGCUGGCGGCGUGCCUAACACAUGCAAGUCGAGCGGCAGCGAGUUUUACACUGAAUUAUGGAAGCUUCUAGUUGAAAGAGAAGAUUUAUUCAAGAAUUUUGUGUAAAAUGUCGGCGAGCGGCGGACGGCUGAGUAACGCGUGGGAACGUACCCCAAAGUGAGGGAUAACGCAUCGAAAGGUGUGCUAAUACCGCAUAUGGUCUUCGGAUUAAAGCCUUCGGGCGCUUUGGGAACGGCCUGCGUAAGAUUAGAUAGUUGGUGGGGUAAUGGCCUACCAAGUCGACGAUCUUUAACUGGUUUGAGAGGAUGAUCAGUCAGACUGGAACUGAGACACGGUCCAGACUCCUACGGGAGGCAGCAGUGAGGAAUCUUCCACAAUGGGCGAAAGCCUGAUGGAGCAACGCCGCGUGCAGGAUGAAGGCCUUCGGGUUGUAAACUGCUUUUAUAAGUGAGGAUUAUGACAGUAACUUAUGAAUAAGGAUCGGCUAACUACGUG